rnacentral:rRNA from 1 species
UACGAAGGGGGCUAGCGUUGCUCGGAAUCACUGGGCGUAAAGCGCACGUAGGCGGCUUUUUAAGUCAGAGGUGAAAUCCUGGAGCUCAACUCCAGAACUGCCUUUGAUACUGGAGUGCUUGAGUCCGGGAGAGGUGAGUGGGAACUGCGAGUGUAGAGGUGAAAUUCGUAGAUAUUCGAAGAACACCAGUGGCGAGGCGGCUCACUGGCCCGGUAUGACGCUGAGGUGCGAAAGCGUGGGGAGCA